CCGGCAGCAGCGGGAGCAGCGUUGCCCGGCCGGCGGCCUUCAUUCUGCGAGCGAAACGCGGCUCUCCCGCGUUUUCUUUGGGUUUCCCUCUCGGGCUGUGCAGCACCCAAAGCGUUUUGGGCCUCUUGCGUAAUAUCCUCUAAAAUGCGUGACGGUGUCAUUCAGUUUCCUGCGCCCCCCGUUUUUACUAAUGCGCCUCGCAGGCACCGCGUAGCCCGCGCCGCUGUGGAGCUUCUGGGGCGGCGCUGAAGAAGGCCGCAGGUAGCUGAGCUCUGCUGAGGAGAGAGGCAGGAUGAGGAUGGAGCUGCCCGUGGCCAAGUGUGCUUGCAAUGCCAUCAUCAUCUGCUUCAUCACCGUCUCCACCACCAAGAAGGUCUGGCAGACCCACUAUAUAUUCCCCUUCAGAGAAAAGGAGGAGAAGAAAGAAUCUGGAGAGAAAAAGGGCUCAGUCAAGGACACGUGUAAGAGAACAAACAGGAAGAUGGAUGUCCCUUAGAGAAACACUUAAUGUGUUCUCACAUGCUGAAGUUGCCAAGCUUUUGCUGGAUUUAUAUGACAGCUAUGAACACCAAGAUAAUGUGUGCAAGGAAUUACAACUGUAG
rnacentral:lncRNA from 1 species